ACAUGUGAGGGGGGGGGGGUUUGGAAAUUUGAGAAUGAGCCAAUAGAGGAAGGAGACGCUGCAGGGGUUGAGGUAUUAGCAAGAAAAUUUACUUUAAGGUGGAACCCUCUAAUUUUAAUGUUUGCAUGGAAGACUAUAGAUAAAAGUGAAGACAUUUACUG